GGCCCGUAUGCAAAAUGGCUUGUGUACUCAAGUUAAGAUUUGUUCCGAACGGACGGAUUUUUCUACACUUUCAACGAUGAAUUACGUUACAAACGGAACCUUGCUUCAGUAUAAGAAUGUUUAGCAGUAGACAAAAGUGGACAACGCUAUCAAAAGGGGGUUUUGAUCCAUAAGAAAGCCACAUUUUGUUUCAAAUUUGAUCUGUAAUUUCA
rnacentral:lncRNA from 1 species